UUUAUGAAAAUAAAUGAACUCUUACUAUGCAUCCUUGUAAAGCACACCUCUCAACUCUAGCAUCUGGUUCCACCCAGCCACCAACAUGAAUCGAUAGCCCCUGUCUGGUCUUGGACCCCCACCGCUCCCAGUGCAGGAAUCGAGGACGCUGUGGGACGCCGCCCCCUGCUCCUCACUGCCCCUGCAGUUGCUCCCACGCACGUGACUUCCAGGAUCUCCAGGAUAGGACCCUGGGAAGAGCAGCAGCUCCCCUGGACGGCCGGGCUGUGCGAGCAACACUUGCUCCUUCCUGCCGUCCAGCGAGAGGCCAAGUGCUCCUGUCUUUCUUCCUUCCUACGUUGGGUUAGCUGCCCAUCUCCCCUCCUGGGCCGCUGUCCCCGGUGACAUCGGCCAUCCUGGCAUGACCGCAGAGCUCGGAAGUACCUGGAGGCGGUCCUUGAAGACCAGGCAUAAACCGAGGAGUCGUUCGGGAGAUGCAUUUCGUGGGACCUGAGCGGACAGUUAUGGGGAAGGAUGCUUAGGCUUAAGAAUGAGGCUUUCCCUGCCUGUGGCACUGGACCCCAGGUUCUGGACCAGCCAUCCUCUUUGGACAGAAGGAAGUUCAGCGAGGCCCAGCUGCCCUGGGGUCUUUCUAGUCCUGGCCAGUCUCGGGCGGUGCAGAGCGGGAGCUGAAGUAAAGGAUCCUGAGCUCCGUCAGUUGGUCCACAGCCUGACAACUUCAGCUGGAUUCCCGAUUCUCUCCUGGCUGGCCAGAGUCGCCCUGUCUCUCACUUCUCAGAAACAGGGCGAACGUAUGGAGAUGAGCUGGAGUGCCUGGCCCUGGGGUCUGACUGACCGAGACAGGUACUCUCAGGCACGGUGAGCAUGCAAGCAACCAUUUUAGAAACGAGUGCACGAGUCCACUGUCAGCCCCGGGAUACGCUGGUUGGGGGUGCAUGUAACCGAGGGGUCACCAGGAGGAUUUCCACAGACAGCUG